rnacentral:rRNA from 1 species
GACGAACGCUGGCGGCGUGCUUAACACAUGCAAGUCGAACGGAAAGGCCCUGCUUUUGUGGGGUGCUCGAGUGGCGAACGGGUGAGUAACACGUGAGUAACCUGCCCUUGACUUUGGGAUAACUUCAGGAAACUGGGGCUAAUACCGGAUAGGAGCUCCUGCUGCAUGGUGGGGGUUGGAAAGUUUCGGCGGUUGGGGAUGGACUCGCGGCUUAUCAGCUUGUUGGUGGGGUAGUGGCUUACCAAGGCUUUGACGGGUAGCCGGCCUGAGAGGGUGACCGGCCACAUUGGGACUGAGAUACGGCCCAGACCCCGACGGGAGGCAGCAGUGGGGAAUAUUGCACAAUGGGGGGAAGCCUGAUGCAGAAAACCCGCGUGGGGGAUGACGGCCUUCGGGGUGUAAACCGCUUUCGCCUGUGACGAAGCGGGAGUGACGGUAAUGGGUAAAGAAGCACCGGCUAACUACGUG